UGUUGGAGGUGAUGCAUGCCGAGAUGGUGUUGCAGGUGAUGAUGAAUGCUAUGAUGACGAAAAAUUUAGAGCUGAGAUCAGCAUUGUUCGAAACCUACUCAGUGUUGUUUCAGAUGGAAGCCCACUUGUCAGGGCAGAGGUUGCUGUAGCUUUAGCACGCUUUGCAUUUGGCCAUAAGCAGCACCUCAAGUCAAUUGCUGCUGCAUAUUGGAAACCCCAGUCAAAUUCUGUACUGAAUUCAUUACCUUCGUUGGCCCAUAUAAAAGUUACAGGUAGUGGAUGUACUAAUGCAAACCAGUAUAUGUCGCAUGCAAGUAUUCUUUCAUCUCAAAUUGGUCCUUUAACGAGAGUUGGAAAUGACAAUCAAUCGGUGGUUCGAGAUAGGAGGGUCUCUACUAGUAGUCCUCUUACCACAUCUGGAAUUAUGCAGGGAUCGCCUUUAUCUGAUGAUUCGUCUCAACAUUCUGAUCCGGGAAUGUUGAAUGAUGUUGUCAGCAAUGGGGUUGUCCACCAUUCGAGACCAAAACCAUUGGAUAAUGCAAUGUAUUCACAGUGUGUACUGGCUAUCUGUACACUGGCUAAGGAUCCCUCUCCACGCAUUGCAAGUCUUGGUCGGCGGGUACUGUCCAUUAUUGGAAUUGAACAAGUGGUGACAAAAACUGUCAACUCUACUGGUGGUAGUGGUCGGCCUGCUGAACAUACAGCUUCAUCUCCAACUCCAAGUCUUGCAGGAUUAGCUCGUUCAUCAUCAUGGUUUGACAUGAAUGCAGGUCAUCUGCCUUUAACAUUCAGAACUCCUCCUGUCAGUCCUCCUCGACCAAGUUACUUAACAGGAAUGCGCAGAGUUUGUUCUUUAGAGUUCAGGCCUCACCUAAUGAAUUCUCCAGAUUCUGGAUUAGCUGAUCCUCUUUUAGGUUCUGCUGGAUCUUCUGGGGGUUCAGAGCGCAGUUUACUUCCGCAAUCAAUUAUUUAUAAUUGGAGCUGUGGUCACUUCUCAAAGCCUCUUCUUAAUACAGCAGAUGAUACUGAAGAAAUGUUGGUUAGAAGAGAAGAAAGGGAAAAGUUUGCACUGGAGCACAUUGCCAAGUGUCAACACUCAUCUGUUAGCAGGUUAGAUAAUCAAAUUGCUGGUUGGGACACAAAGUUUGAAACAGGAACAAAGGCAGCCUUGUUGCAACCUUUCUCUCCUAUUGUCAUUGCUGCUGAUGAAAAUGAGCGGAUAAGGGUAUGGAAUUAUGAGGAUGCAGCCCUUCUCAACGGAUUUGAUAAUCAUGAGUUUCCUGACAAAGGAAUUUCUAAACUCUGCCUUGUAAAUGAGCUUGAUGACAGUUUGCUUCUUGUUGCUUCAUGUAAUACUUCAUAAUAGUUAGUUUCUAGGUUUUGAGAUUGGUUUAUUAGAUUGUUAGAUUUUUCAAAUCAAUCCUUUGCUUUACCUAUUUGAUUUAGGUGAUGGAAAUAUUCGGAUUUGGAAAGAUUAUAUACUCAAGGGUAAACAAAAACUUGUUACUGCAUUUUCUUCAAUCCAGGGUCAUAAACCUGGUGUACGGAGUUUAAAUGCUGUCAUAGAUUGGCAACAGCAAUCUGGAUAUCUGGUACAUGCUUAGUUUAAGAUAAUACUAUUUGUAGGCUUUUUUAUGUUUAUAUAUUGGUGUUUUAGGGUGCUGUGAUGCAUUUUUCUGGUAUUGCAUCAUUUCAGUAUGCUUCUGGUGAGAUAUCUUCCAUAAUGCUUUGGGACCUAGAUAAAGAGCAAUUGCUUAAUUCUAUUCCAUCCUCAACAGAUUGCAGCAUCUCAGCAUUGUCUGCUUCUCAAGUUCAUGGGGGUCAAUUUGCAGCAGGUUUUGUGGAUGGUUCUGUCAGACUCUAUGAUAUCCGGACACCUGAAAUGCUUGUGUGUGCUAAACGACCCCAUACAAGAGUAGAAAGAGUAGUUGGUAUUGGCUUUCAACCUGGUCUUGAUUCUGGGAAGUUUGUCAGUGCAUCUCAGGCUGGUGAUAUUGAGUUCCUGGAUAUCAGAAAUCCCAGGGAUACAUACCUCACAAUUAAUGCUCACAGGGGCUCACUUACAGCUUUAGCUGUUCAUAGGCAUGCCCCUAUCAUUGCCAGUGGCUCAGCAAAACAAAUUAUUAAAGUAUUCAGCCUGGAGGGUGAAGUACUGGGCACCAUUCGGUAUUACUCAACUUUUAUGGCCCAGACGAUUGGUCCUGUUAGCUGUCUCACCUUCCAUCCAUACCAAGUGCUGCUUGCUGCUGGGGCUGCAGAUGCUUGUGUUUCCAUAUAUACUGAUGACAAUGCUCAAGCAAGAUGAGUGACAUUCUUUACUGGUGUGUUUGGAGUCGUCUUGAUGAGCAGCACAAGGGAAUGGGCUUACUAUGAUCGCCAAUGCUGUUUUCUGAGUGCAAUUUACUCAUCAGAUGUGACACUCCAUUGAGCCAAUCAUGCUUGGCUGGAACCUGGGUUUGGCUCGGACUUCUGAAAUUGUAUGAUACAUAUUCAUUAGCCUCCAGUGUAAGAGGGUCAAUUCAAUCAAGAUGAGAAGAAAUCCUGCAUACUCAUCAGUGGGGGCUUUGGCAAAUAAUUGUUAUAUUGGUAAAUUUGUGUAAAUAGCUUCAUUUCCCUUUGCAUCUUUCCUUUCUUCGUGUGUUUAUUGAUCUAUCCAUUCCCUUGUUCGUUGUAAAAUCAUAAUUUAAGCGUUGCAGAAUGCAGACAGAUGUUGAUAUGGAUGCCAUCCCCCUGAAUUGCGGGGAAUUCAACCUGUUAAAUGUCCCUGAUUAUGUUUAUGGUUCGCUGGUCUAAACCCAACUCCCCACCAGAAAAGAAGGGAUAAAAAAGAGACGUACCAUUUCUGAUCUCUCUUUUUAAAACUUCACCCCUAACCAUAUCGCAGGGAUUUGCUAAUCAUUGAGUAGCUACUUGUUAAAUACGUAGCUUAAGCAAAUCGAGUUUCGAGAAUGUGUUAUUCCAUGUGUCUGAUGUUUUCGUUCAAAGGGGUAUUAAUUAGGUUGGCAAUGGGGUGAAUCUCGUUGGCUGCUUUUUUUUUAUUUAUUAAAUUUUCUUUUUAAAAUUAAUAUGCAAACAAACAUUCAAAGCUUUAUAUAAUUUGAUGUACA
rnacentral:misc_RNA from 1 species